UACGGAGGGGGCUAGCGUUGUUCGGAAUUACUGGGCGUAAAGCGCACGCAGGCGGACUGUUAAGUCGGGGGUGAAAUCCUGGGGCUCAACCUCAGAAUUGCCUCCGAUACUGGCAGUCUCGAGUGCGGGAGAGGUGAGUGGAAUUCCCAGUGUAGAGGUGAAAUUCGUAGAUAUUGGGAAGAACACCAGUGGCGAAGGCGGCUCACUGGCCCGUAACUGACGCUGAGGUGCGAAAGCGUGGGGAGCAAACAGG
rnacentral:rRNA from 1 species